AAGAAUGUUGAAGUGGAAGUUGUUGGUUACAUGGUAGGGGAACCAUGUCCUAAUAUCUGGUGACUGUGAAUGUACCUUUCCUGGAAAAAGGGUCUUUAAACCUGUAAUUGGGCUAAUAACAGUAACAUCAGGAUUUGAUGACCCAUCUCUUGCAAAGCUCCCUUUGCCAUCAAGACAACAAUUGGACGUAGACCCUGCUUGAAGCUCCCCUCAUGCCAGAUACUCAAAAUACCCGAAGAACAGAACGCUAUCAUCGCUUAUUAUGGCUAAUGGACGAAAAGCCACGGAGCCAACAGAUAAUGUGCCCUGAAACCGAGGCCCGCGAAGAAAAUGUUAGCUUCUGGAAAUGGCGCUGGGGGAGUGAGUGGAAGUUGCUGGUUCAUCCUCUUCUGUGAUCCGGAGAUAGUCUACUUAUGAAAUUAAAGUGGCAGGAAGCAAGCACCCUAAAA